rnacentral:rRNA from 1 species
AACGAACGCUGGCGGCAGGCUUAACACAUGCAAGUCGAACGGGCGUAGCAAUACGUCAGUGGCGGACGGGUGAGUAACACGUGGGAAUAUGCCUUUCGGUUCGGAACAACUCGGGGAAACCCGUGCUAAUUCCGGAUACGCCCUUACGGGAAAGAUUUAUCGCCGAAAGAUCGGCCCGCGUCUGAUUAGCUAGUUGGUGAGGUAACGGCUCACCAAGGCGACGAUCAGUAGCUGGUCUGAGAGGAUGAUCAGCCACAUUGGGACUGAGACACGGCCCAAACUCCUACGGGAGGCAGCAGUGGGGAAUAUUGGACAAUGGGCGCAAGCCUGAUCCAGCCAUGCCGCGUGAGUGAUGAAGGCCCUAGGGUU